UACAGAGGGGGGCAAGCGUUAUUCGGAAUUAUUGGGCGUAAAGGGCGCGUAGGCGGCCUGGCAAGUGGAAGGUGAAAUCCCUCGGCUUAACCGAGGAACUGCCCUCCAAACUGCUUGGCUUGAGACCGGGAGAGGUGAGUGGAAUUCCCAGUGUAGCGGUGAAAUGCGCAGAUAUCAGGAGGAACACCGAUUGCGAAGGCAGCUCGCUGGAACGUUACUGACGCUGAGACGCGAAAGCGUGGGGAGCAAACAGG
rnacentral:rRNA from 1 species